UUGGAGGGCAAGUCUGGUGCCAGCAGCCGCGGUAAUUCCAGCUCCAAUAGCGUAUAUUAAAGUUGUUGCAGUUAAAAAGCUCGUAGUUGAAUUUCGGGGUUAGUAGGUUGGUCAUGCCUCUGGUAUGUACUGGUCUCACUGAUUCCUCCUUCCUUAUGAACCGUAAUGCCAUUAAUUUGGUGUUGCGGGGAAUUUGGACUGUUACUUUGAAAAAAUUAGAGUGUUUAAAGCAAGCUAACGCUUGAAUACAUUAGCAUGGAAUAAUGAAAUAGGACGUUCGAUCUUAUUUUGUUGGUUUCUAGGAUUGACGUGAUGAUUAAUAGGGAUAGUUGGGGGCAUUAGUAUUCAAUUGUCAGAGGUGAAAUUCUUGGAUUUAUCGAAGACUAACUACUGCGAAAGCAUUUGCCAAGGAUGUUUUCAUUAAUCAAGAACGAAAGUUAGGGGAUCGAAGACGAUCAGAUACCGUCGUAGUCUUAACCAUAAACUAUGCCGACUAGGGAUCGGAUGAUGUUAAUUUUUUAAUGACUCAUUCGGCGCCUUACGGGAAAC
rnacentral:rRNA from 1 species